UACGUAGGGUCCGAGCGUUGUCCGGAAUUAUUGGGCGUAAAGGGCUCGUAGGCGGUUUGUCGCGUCGGGAGUGAAAACACGGGGCUUAACCCCGUGCCUGCUUCCGAUACGGGCAGACUAGAGGUAUGCAGGGGAGAACGGAAUUCCUGGUGUAGCGGUGAAAUGCGCAGAUAUCGGGAGGAACACCAGUGGCGAAGGCGACUACCUGGCCUGUUCUUGACGCUGAGGCGCGAAAGCUAGGGGAGCAAACGGG
rnacentral:rRNA from 1 species